rnacentral:tRNA from 1 species
GGUGGGAUGGCGAAGUGGCUAACGCAGCGGUCUGCAAAACCGCGAUUCACGGGUUCGAAUCCCGUUCCCACCG